rnacentral:tRNA from 1 species
GAGGGUAUAGCUCAAUUGCAGAGUGUGUGCUUAGCAUACAUGAGGUCCUGGGUUCAGUCCCCAGUACUUCCG